rnacentral:misc_RNA from 1 species
UUGAUUGGUUGAUUGAUUGAUUAAGGGGAUAUAUGUGAAUGAAGAAUCAGGCCCAGACUCUCUUCUUGGGGAUAAGGUCGACCGUCUUGACCUUGUCUAUGCGAGCCGCGACGAUGAAGUCAUUGACGGUGAGGCCGCCGGCGGAGGGCGUCUGCAGCUCGGCCCUGACCUGGUUGGGGGCCUCGAAGACGACGGUGGCCGGGGCGCCGUCAACCGCGGCGUUGAUCCUGGCGACGAGCUCGUGGCCGCAGGCUUCGUCCCUGACCUUCCAGACGCACUGCAGACGCAUGCCGUCGGCGUCGUCGAGGAGGCGCCAGCCAACCACCUUGUGGAGGAGGCGGCGGGCGUCGGCAGCGUCGACGGGCGCGGGGUUAGGCUCGAGGGGGAGGCGCGCGAUGGAG